GGCACCAUUGAAUUUUGUCCUGAACAGCAGCCUUUGAUUCAUGUCUUCAAGGAUGUAUGUAUAAAUGAAGAAUAAUGAAAAAUUGUGGAGAAGUUUCAAGAGUGAUUUGAAGUAAGCUUAUUAUAAACCUUUCGAAGGAAGUGAAAGACGGUGGCAAUGUGAGGAUUCUCGUGUAGGCCCAAACCAGUAGCAGCUGUUGUUUGAACAUUAGGAAAAAGAUGAGACUGCAGUACGUAUUAUUACACAACAGUCAAUAUAUAUAUAUAAUCUGUGCAAUGAUUAAGCAUGUUUUGCUUUUGCGAAUAGUAGGAACAAGCUAAAUGAAAUGCUGAAAAUUGGAGUAAACAAAAGUUGAAUCACACAUCUAGCACAAAGUCUUAUGCGCGAAGCAAAGCACAAUAUGCUGAAAUGCAGGAAAACUUUAAGGGAUUAGUUGAAGAUGAAUGUCCUGAUAAUUUAAAGGCACGAAGAAGAGCUUUGGUUGGGCAACUAAAGUUUUGGAACUCUACUGAUGUAGGCAGACCUUUGUAAUAUUUGGCUAUUGUAAAUUGUAAUCCACAUUGGUACUUUAUAUUUUAUAAGAAUGGUUGUUGUAUCUUGUAUGGUUCAAUCUUUCAGUAUUGUACUUAUAAUUGUCAUUACAUUUUAAAUAUGAAUUAAAAAAAAAUUAGG